rnacentral:rRNA from 1 species
CUUUGCUGACGAGUGGCGGACGGGUGAGUAAUGUCUGGGAAACUGCCUGAUGGAGGGGGAUAACUACUGGAAACGGUAGCUAAUACCGCAUAACGUCGCAAGACCAAAGAGGGGGACCUUCGGGCCUCUUGCCAUCGGAUGUGCCCAGAUGGGAUUAGCUAGUAGGCGGGGUAACGGCCCACCUAGCCCGCGAUGGGUAGCCGGGUUGAGAGACCGACCGGCCACAUUGGGACUGAGAUACGGCCCAGACUCCUACGGGAGGCAGCAUG